rnacentral:rRNA from 1 species
UAUUGCACAAUGGAGGAAACUUUGAUGCAGCGACGCCGCGUGAGUGACGAAGGCCUUCGGGUUGUAAAGCUCUGUUCUCAGGGAAAAAGCAAGUGAUUGUACCUGAGGAGAAAGGACCGGCUAACUUCGUGCCAGCAGCCGCGGUAAUACGGAGGGAGCUAGCGUUGUUCGGAAUUACUGGGCGUAAAGCGCACGUAGGCGGCUUUGUAAGUUAGAGGUGAAAGCCUGGAGCUCAACUCCAGAAUUGCCUUUGAUACUGCAUCGCUUGAAUCCAGGAGAGGUGAGUGGAAUUCCGAGUGUAGAGGUGAAAUUCGUAGAUAUUCGGAAGAACACCAGUGGCGAAGGCGGCUCAAUAUGCAGGUAUUGACGCUGAGGGCGAG